ensembl:miRNA microRNA 125b-2
ACCAGACUUUUCCUAGUCCCUGAGACCCUAACUUGUGAGGUAUUUUAGUAACAUCACAAGUCAGGCUCUUGGGACCUAGGCGGAGGGGA